UGGGGAAUAUUGCACAAUGGGGGAAACCCUGAUGCCGCCACCCCCCGUGGAGGAAGAAGGUCUUCCGAUUGUAAACUCCUGUUGUUGAGGAAGAUAAUGACGGUACUCCACAAGGAAGUGACGGCUAACUACGUGCCAGCAGCCGCGGUAAAACGUAGGUCACAAGCGUUGUCCGGAAUUACUGGGUGUAAAGGGAGCGCAGGCGGGAAGACAAGUUGGAAGUGAAAUCUAUGGGCUCAACCCAUAAACUGCUUUCAAAACUGUUUUUCUUGAGUAGUGCAGAGGUAGGCGGAAUUCCCGGUGUAGCGGUGGAAUGCGUAGAUAUCGGGAGGAACACCAGUGGCGAAGGCGGCCUACUGGGCACCAACUGACGCUGAGGCUCGAAAGUGUGGGUAGCAAACAGGAUUAGAUACCCUGGUAGUCCACACCGUAAACGAUGAUUACUAGGUGUUGGAGGAUUGACCCCUUCAGUGCCGCAGUUAACACAAUAAGUAAUCCACCUGGGGAGUACGACCGCAAGGUUGAAACUCAAAGGAAUUGACGGGGGCCCGCACAAGCAGUGGAGUAUGUGGUUUAAUUCGACGCAACGCGAAGAACCUUACCAAGUCUUGACAUCCUGCGACGAUGCUGGAAACAGUAUUUUCCUUCGGGACGCAGAGACAGGUGGUGCAUGGUUGUCGUCAGCUCGUGUCGUGAGAUGUUGGGUUAAGUCCCGCAACGAGCGCAACCCUUACUGUCAGUUACUACGCAAGAGGACUCUGGCAGGACUGCCGUUGACAAAACGGAGGAAGGUGGGGAUGACGUCAAAUCAUCAUGCCCUUUAUGACUUGGGCUACACACGUACUACAAUGGCGUAACAGAGGGAAGCAACAUCGCGAGGUGAAGCAAAUCUCUAAAAAACGUCCCAGUUCAGAUUGCAGGCUGCAACUCGCCUGCAUGAAGACGGAAUUGCUAGUAAUCGCAGAUCAGCAUGCUGCGGUGAAUACGUUCCC
rnacentral:rRNA from 1 species